rnacentral:lncRNA from 1 species
GGCAUGCCCUGGGGGAUGGAAGUCCAAAUUUUAAUGCUCCAGUAGGUUGAAUUGCAGGAUUUAUUGCCCUUAAAUCUUGUAUUAACCUCCAAUUACCUGAAUUUUUCUUAAUUACAAAAAUGGAUGUGUUCCAAGGGCUAAGUGUAGGCUCUGAAUGACCAGCUUUAAGCUAUUCUUUGACUCAAAUAUGAGCUAUUUUAAGUUUUUCCCCUGUUACAGGCCACUGACUAACCCAAAUUGGCUCUUCUGUGAGCCAAGUGAUCUUUUUUGCUACCUUUAUUUUUAGAGAGAGAGAAGAGAGAGAGAGAGAUUGAGAGAGAGAGAGAGAAUUUUUUAAUAUUUAUUUUUUAGUGAUUGGUGGACACAACAUCU